rnacentral:rRNA from 1 species
CGUGUAGGCGGCUUGUUAAGUCAGAUGUGAAAACUGGGGGCUCAACCCGCAGCUUGCAUCUGAAACUGACAGGCUUGAGUCUGGUAGAGGAAAGUGGAAUUCCUAGUGUAGCGGUGAAAUGCGCAGAUAUUAGGAGGAACACCAGUGGCGAAGGCGGCUUUCUGGGCCACGACUGACGCUGAGACGCGAAAGCUAGGGGAGCAAACAGGAUUAGAUACCCUGGUAGUCC